rnacentral:rRNA from 1 species
UGGGGAAUUGUUCGCAAUGGGCGCAAGCCUGACGACGCAACGCCGCGUGGAGGACGAAGAUCUUCGGGUCGUAAACUCCUUUCGAUCGGGAAAAACGUUUUCGGGGCGAAUAAUCCCGAGAAGUGACGGUACCGAGAGAAGAAGCCCCGGCUAACUCCGUGCCAGCAGCCGCGGUAAUACAGAGGGUGCAAGCGUUGUUCGGAAUUAUUGGGCGUAAAGCGCGUGUAGGCGGCUUGUUAUGUCGGGUGUGAAAGCCCUCAGCUUAACUGAGGAAGUGCGCCCGAAACUGGCAAGCUUGAGUGCCGGAGAGGAUAGCGGAACACCCGGUGUAGAGGUGAAAUUCGUAGAUAUCGGGUAGAACACCAGUGGCGAAGGCGGCUAUCUGGACGGACACUGACGCUGAGACGCGAAAGCGUGGGGAGCAAAC